UCCAGUUUGGCAACAGAACGCUCUGCAAACUCUGCUCUAGUCUCAGCCUGGAAACAGGAAGUACACAGGUAAACAGGAAGUACACAGGUAAACAGGAAGUACACAGUAACAAACAGGAAGUACACAGGUAAACAGGAAGUACACAGUAACAAACAGGAAGUACACAGGUAAACAGGAAGUACACAGGUAAACAGGAAGUACACAGGUAAACAGGAAGUACACAGUAACAAACAGGAAGUACACAGGUAAACAGGAAGUACACAGUAACAAACAGGAAGUACACAGUAACAAACAGGAAGUACACAGUAACAAACAGGAAGUACACAGGUAAACAGGAAGUACAGGUAACAGGAAGUCUCACC